rnacentral:rRNA from 1 species
UACGUAGGGGGCAAGCGUUGUCCGGAUUCAUUGGGCGUAAAGAGCGUGUAGGCGGCCAGGUAGGUCGGUUGUGAAAACUGGAGGCUCAACCUUCAGAGGUCGACCGAAACCAUCUGGCUAGAGUCCGGGAGAGGAGAGUGGAAUUCCUGGUGUAGCGGUGAAAUGCGCAGAUAUCAGGAAGAACACCCGUGGCGAAGGCGGGUCUCUGGACAGUUCCUGACGCUGAGGCACGAAGGCCAGGGGAGCAAACAGG